GGAGGUUGGUGGUGGACGGUCCACUCGCCAACCGGGUCAGGUCCGGAAGGAAGCAGCCCUAACGAGCUCGGAACGGGUCAUUGUUCCAGCCUCCCAC
rnacentral:SRP_RNA from 1 species